rnacentral:rRNA from 1 species
GACGAACGCUGGCGGCGUGCCUAAUACAUGCAAGUUGAGCGCUGAAGGUUGGUACUUGUACCGACUGGAUGAGCAGCGAACGGGUGAGUAACGCGUGGGGAAUCUGCCUUUGAGCGGGGGACAACAUUUGGAAACGAAUGCUAAUACCGCAUAAAAACUUUAAACACAAGUUUUAAGUUUGAAAGAUGCAAUUGCAUCACUCAAAGAUGAUCCCGCGUUGUAUUAGCUAGUUGGUGAGGUAAAGGCUCACCAAGGCGAUGAUACAUAGCCGACCUGAGAGGGUGAUCGGCCACAUUGGGACUGAGACACGGCCCAAACUCCUACGGGAGGCAGCAGUAGGGAAUCUUCGGCAAUGGACGAAAGUCUGACCGAGCAACACCGCGUGAGUGAAGAAGGUUUUCGGGUCGUAAAACUCUGUUGGUAGAGAAGAACGUUGGUGAGAGUGGAAAGCUCAUCAAGUGACGGUAACUACCCAGAAAGGGACGGCUAACUACGUG